AAAUUAACUUUUUAAUAUGUGAUACAGAGACCAACUUCAAAAGUUAUUUCAGAUUUUUUUUUCCAGAGGAAGAAAAAUAAACACAAAAAUCCCAAUAUUAAGAAAAUAUAAUAAAUAUGGAAAAAGAGAAUUUUCUUUAAAUAUAGAGAUGCAAGUUGAUAAUACAAUACCAAUAAAUUUAGUUAAACCAAUAAGCAAACUUAUGAAAAGGAAACUUAGCAUAGUUUUAAAACUAUGGGUUUUAAAGGAACUAAACAUGAAGCUCAAAAUAAUGCAUAACAUACAAAAUAGAUGAAAAUUAAAACAUAGAUAUAUCUUGGUACAGUUUUUAAAUUUCAAAAAAAAUG
rnacentral:lncRNA from 1 species